AGUGAAAUAGAACCUGAAACCCUGCACUUACAAGCUGUGGAAGCACAUUUCUUGUGUGACCGCGUACUUUUUGUAGAACGGGCAAACGAGUUACGUUAAGUAGCAAGGUUAAGCACUUAAGGUGCGGCGCCGUAGCGAAAGCGAGUUUUAACUGAGCGUUCAGUUACUUGACGUAGACCCGAAACCGGGCGACCUACCCAUGAGCAGGAUG
rnacentral:rRNA from 1 species